rnacentral:rRNA from 1 species
GACGAACGCUGGCGGCGUGCUUAACACAUGCAAGUCGAACGGAAAGGCCCUGCUUUUGUGGGGUGCUCGAGUGGCGAACGGGUGAGUAACACGUGAGUAACCUGCCCUUGACUUUGGGAUAACUUCAGGAAACUGGGGCUAAUACCGGAUAGGAGCUCCUGCUACAUGGUGGGGAUUGGAAAAUUUCGGCGGUUGGGGAUGGACUCGCGGCUUAUCAGCUUGUUGGUGGGGUGGUGGCUUACCAAGGCUUUGACGGGUAGCCGGCCUGAGAGGGUGACCGGCCACAUUGGGACUGAGAUACGGCCCAGACUCCUACUGGAGGCAGCAGUGGGGAAUAGUGCACAAUGGGCGGAAGCCUGAUGCAGCAACGCCGCGUGCGGGAUGACGGCUUUCGGGUUGGAAACCGCUUUAGCCUGUGACGAAGCGUGAGUGACGGUAAUGGGUAAAGAAGCACCGGCUAACUACGUG